rnacentral:lncRNA from 1 species
AGAGGCGGAGGGCUCGGCUGGCUGCUCCAGUCUGCGCCGUCCAUGCGUCUCGGGUGUCCUAUCCCGGAGGAUACAUUUUUCUUUUUCAGAAAAGGGAAACAGGAAAACGGGGACGAUUAGACUCUAUCUAGGGGAGCCAUGUGGAAAAACCAGCUUCAGGCAUCAGACAACAUCCAAGGGGCUGCACUGUUUUUUUGUUUUUUUUUUCUGUAAGAGACAGGGUCUUGCUAUGUCGCCCAGGCUAACCAUAGCUCACUGCAGCCUCUAACUCCUAGGUUCAAGCGAUUCUCCUUCCUCAGCCACCUAAAGUGCUGGGGUUACAGGUGUGAACCACCAUGCCCAUCUAAUUUUUUUUUUUUUUUUUUUUUUUUUUUUGAGACGAAGUCUCGCUCUUGUCCCCUAGUCUGGAGUGCAAUGGCACGAUCUCGGCUCACUGCAACCUCCGCCACCCAGGUUCAAGCGAUUCUCCUGCCUCAGCCUCCCGAGUACCUGGGAUUACAGGCUGGAGUUUAGCUCACUGCAACCUCUGCCUCCUGGGUUCAAGCAAUUCUCCUCCCUCAGCCUUCUGAGUAGCUGGGACUACAGGCUUUAGAACUGGCGGCUUUAUAAGAAGAGAAAGAGAGAUCUGAGCUAGCACACUCAACCCCCUUGCUCUGUGAUGCCCUGUGCCAUCUCGGGACUCUGCAGAGGGUCCCCACCAGCAAGAAGGCCUUCACCAGAGCGGCCCCUUAACCUUGGACUUCCCAGCCUCCAUAACUAGACAAGAGUCUUGCUCUGUCACUCAGGCUGGAGUGCAAUGAUGCUAUCAUAGCUCACUGCAGCCUCGAAUUCCUGGCCUCACUCAAGCGAUCUUCUCGCCGCCUCGGCUUCCCAAAGUGCUGGGAUUACAGGGGUGAACCAGCAUGUUCCGAUGAAGUCUCAGGCCAAAUGUCACCCCUGUCAUCCUCUGGUUUCCACAGGGUAGCCAGCACCUUCUCACUCCCUCGGGCACUUUUGUUUAUUUUAGAGCGUUUUCUUGCUGUGGAAUCCUUCCC